GGGGUAGUAGCUCAAUUGGUUAGAGCGCCUGCCUGUCACGCAGGAGGUCGCGGGUUCGAGUCCCGUCUAUCCCGCCA
rnacentral:tRNA from 1 species